GUGAGUUGGAUAGCUGACUACGGAAGUUGCCAUUAAAUUGGCGAGUGUUGUAAUGAACGCUACUUCUGAGGAAGGUCCGGACAUCGCGAAAGGUGACUUGUUGAAAGGCAAGUUGUCGCGAGGCAAAGCUCCGCAACAGAAACGGCACAGCUUUUCCAGAGUUAUGAUCCAUGCGGGGAGCUAGGAAGGAAAAGAUUUGAUGAAACGGGCGUCUUCACCGAUGCAAGAGCCUAAGCCGCUCGCUUAGACAGAUGUCAGCACGCACUUUAUAGGGAACCUAGUUCCCUAAUAAGUAAACCAAUAACAGCCGAAAGGUUAAAUUGGUUUAUUAUAGUGCGACAGAAUCUGGCCUAUUUCCGACUCAC
rnacentral:RNase_P_RNA from 1 species